rnacentral:rRNA from 1 species
UACGUAGGGUCCGAGCGUUGUCCGGAAUUAUUGGGCGUAAAGGGCUCGUAGGCGGUUCGUCACGUCGGGAGUGAAAACUCGGGGCUUAACCCCGAGCCUGCUUCCGAUACGGGCAGACUAGAGGUAGGCAGGGGAGAGCGGAACUCCUGGUGCGCGGUGGAAUGCGCAGAUAUCAGGAAGAACACCGGUGGCGAAGGCGGCUCUCUGGGCCUUACCUGACGCUGAGGAGCGAAAGCGUGGGUAGCGAACAGG